rnacentral:lncRNA from 13 species
UACUGCAGAUGCACUAAAGACCUGUUCCAGCAAUUUAUGUGGCUGCAAAAAAGGAAAAUGAGUUCUGCACACAACAUUGCAAAUGUUCGCAGUGUAAAAACAAAGCUAAUUUAAAUAAAACAUCUGAAAAGAAUUCAUCUGAAGAUAAAACUAAAGAUAAGACUGAAGAUAAAACUGAUAAUAAAAGAAAAGAUAUGAAAAA